UAAGGCAGCAGUGGGGAAUAUUGCACAAUGGGCGCAAGCCUGAUGCAGCCAUGCCGCGUGUAUGAAAAGGCCUUCGGGUUGUAAAGUACUUUCAGUCGUGAGGAAGGUGUUAAGGUUAAUAACCUUAGCAAUUGACGUUAGCGACAGAAGAAGCACCGGCUAACUCCGUGCCAGCAGCCGCGGUAAUACGGAGGGUGCGAGCGUUAAUCGGAAUUACUGGGCGUAAAGGGCACGCAGGCGGUUAAUUAAGUUGGAUGUGAAAUCCCCGGGCUUAACCUGGGAAUGGCAUUCAAGACUGGUUAGCUAGGGUCUUGUAGAGGGGGUAGAAUUCCAUGUGUAGCGGUGAAAUGCGUAGAGAUGUGGAGGAAUACCGGUGGCGAAGGCGGCCCCUGGACAAAGACUGACGCUCAUGUGCGAAAGCGUGGGGAGCAAACAGGGAUUAGAUACC
rnacentral:rRNA from 1 species